rnacentral:rRNA from 1 species
GUGGGGAAUCUUGCGCAAUGGGCGAAAGCCUGACGCAGCCAUGCCGCGUGAAUGAUGAAGGUCUUAGGAUUGUAAAAUUCUUUCACCGGGGACGAUAAUGACGAUACCCGGAGAAGAAGCCCCGGCUAACUUCGUGCCAGCAGCCGCGGUAAUACGAAGGGGGCUAGCGUUGCUCGGAAUUACUGGGCGUAAAGGGCGCGUAGGCGGAUCGUUAAGUCAGGGGUGAAAUCCCAGAGCUCAACUCUGGAACUGCCCUUGAUACUGGCGAUCUUGAGUGUGAGAGAGGUAUGUGGAACUCCGAGUGUAGAGGUGAAAUUCGUAGAUAUUCGGAAGAACACCAGUGGCGAAGGCGACAUACUGGCUCGAUACUGACGCUGAGGUGCGAAAGCGUGGGGAGCAAACAGGAUUAGAAACCCUAGUAGUCC